GAUGAACGCUGGCGGCGUGCUUAACACAUGCAAGUCGAACGGUGAAGCCCUUCGGGGUGGAUCAGUGGCGAACGGGUGAGUAACACGUGGGGAAUCUGCCCUGAACUCUGGGACAAGCCUUGGAAACGAGGUCUAAUACCGGAUAUGACCGUCUCCCGCAUGGGGGUCGGUGGAAAGCUCCGGCGGUUCAGGAGGAUCCCGCGGCCUAUCAGCUUGUUGGUGGGGUAACGGCCCACCAAGGCGACGACGGGUAGCCGGCCUGAGAGGGCGACCGGCCACACUGGGACUGAGACACGGCCCAGACUCCUACGGGAGGCAGCAGUGGGGAAUAUUGCACAAUGGGCGAAAGCCUGAUGCAGCGACGCCGCGUGAGGGAUGACGGCCUUCGGGUUGUAAACCUCUUUCAGCAGGGAAGAAGCGCAAGUGACGGUACCUGCAGAAGAAGCACCGGCUAACUACGUGCCAGCAGCCGCCGUAAGAC
rnacentral:rRNA from 1 species